rnacentral:rRNA from 1 species
AACGAACGCUGGCGGCAGGCCUAACACAUGCAAGUCGAACGCCCCGCAAGGGGAGUGGCAGACGGGUGAGUAACACGUGGGAACCUACCUUGUGGUACGGAACAACCAAGGGAAACUUUGGCUAAUACCGUAUGAGCCCGAGAGGGGAAAGAUUUAUCGCCAUAAGAUGGGCCCGCGUCGGAUCAGCUAGUUGGUGAGGUAAUGGCUCACCAAGGCGACGAUCCGUAGCUGGUCUGAGAGGAUGACCAGCCACACUGGGACUGAGACACGGCCCAGACUCCUACGGGAGGCAGCAGUGGGGAAUAUUGGACAAUGGGCGCAAGCCUGAUCCAGCCAUGCCGCGUGUGUGAUGAAGGCCUUAGGGUUGUAAAGCACUUUCGCCGAUGAAGAUAAUGACGGUAGUCGGAGAAGAAGCCCCGGCUAACUUCGUGCCAGCCGCCGCCGUAAGAC